GAGCCCGUAGCUUAGCCUGGUGGAGCGCCGGUCUUAUACACCGGUGGUCCCGCGUUCAAAUCGCGGCGGGCUCA
rnacentral:tRNA from 1 species